rnacentral:rRNA from 1 species
GACGAACGCUGGCGGCGUGCUUAACACAUGCAAGUCGAACGGAAAGGCCCUGCUUUUGUGGGGUGCUCGAGUGGCGAACGGGUGAGUAACACGUGAGUAACCUGCCCUUGACUUUGGGAUAACUUCAGGAAACUGGGGCUAAUACCGGAUAGGAGCUCCUGCUGCAUGGUGGGGGUUGGAAAGUUUCGGCGGUUGGGGAUGGACUCGCGGCUCAUCAGCUUGUUGGUGGGGUAGUGGCUUACCAAGGCUUUGACGGGUAGCCGGCCUGAGAGGGUGAACGGCCACAUUGGGACUGAGAUACGGCCCAGACGCCUACGGGAGGCAGCAGUGGGGAAUAUUGCACAAUGGGCGGAAGCCUGAUGCAGCAACGCCGCGUGCGGGAUGACGGCCUUCGGGUUGUAAACCGCUUUCGCCUGUGACGAAGCGUGAGUGACGGUAAUGGGUAAAGAAGCACCGGCUAACUACGUG